CCCUCGGCUUCGCGUGACGAUCCCCCAUUAACCCCGUCAGGUCCGGAAGGAAGCAGCGGUCCGUGCCGGGCGCGUGCCGCGGACCACCGGGGGGCU
rnacentral:SRP_RNA from 1 species